UUGGAGGAGGCUUUACGAGGUCAAGAAGGUCAUUUCAAGUUGUGGAAACACAGCCCAUUGGUUGGCUUGAAGCACCUGGCCUCCUGCAGUCAUCAGCAAACACUUGUCCUGCCCUUGUAAAUAGUUUUGGACGAAUGAAGGAUAUGGUUAAAGACCAAACGAAAGGAGAUCCCAGCAAAGUUUGAAAGAGGAUGAGAUUCAGUGCACUAAACUCACCAUUCUAAGGAUCAGCCACUUCCAAAGGCUGGGGUGGUGCAUCAAAGAGAAGCCAGCUGUGCCCCAGCUCCGUGAGGGGUGGUUUCCCUAACACCAUGUGGCCCCUUGGCUCCAACUCAGCUUUCUCAAUGCCUGUGGGCAUUUGUCUGCCUCCCAGAAGUUAUUUUUGUGCGUGUGUACUCUUUGGUGAUUUUCCAAUUCUGUUUAAUGCACAGAAUAGAUAACUACAAAUAUUUACCUCUCUCAAAGCUAGGUCCCAGGAAAUUCUUACUGAUUUGAAAAGGUUAGUGAUUUAAUCUCAUGCCAUUUUCAUGUGAGCUGCAUGACCGUGAGUAGUCCCAGAAUUCUCCUCUGCAAAUAUCCUGAAAGAAAAAGAACAAAUUGUUCUGAAUUGAAGAAUGAAUUCCAACCUGCUAACCAGAAACCUCCUCUGAGAGACUUGGCAAAGAUGCAUCUGCUGUCAAUGCUUGGAUCUUUCUUUUUAUGCCUCAAAGGAUACCAUAAACACGUGUGUGUGUGGAUGGCCAGUUUCCUAAAAUAAAUCUCAUGUCUCAUUCUU